rfam:Gossypium hirsutum cultivar TM-1 unplaced genomic scaffold scaffold4672.1, whole genome shotgun sequence
GGCUGUGACAAUACCAGCAGUAAUGCAUAGGAUCCCAUUAGAACUCUGUAGUUUAGCGUGCUUGCGGGAAAGUAGUACUAUGAUGGGUGACCUUCUGGGAAGUCCUCAUUUUUCACCUUCC